rnacentral:lncRNA from 1 species
AAACAUAUUCAUACUAAUGUUGGGUUAGGAUUUUUCUAUACCCAUAAUGAUGAUUAAUUAGAAAGUAGGCACUUAUUUGUUGAACUAUAUGGUGUUAUUCAUAUUCUUGGUUGAUGCUGAAAAAUCCUUGGGAGGUACGGUGCGGUUGGGCCGACAAAAAGUACAUAAAACAGGCAAAAGUUGUGUGCCAUGUCAUUCGGUACACUCUCGUGAUGUUAAUUUUCGGGAUAUUAUUAAGCAUUUCCCACCAUAUAAAUAUA